CAAAACUGGGGGCAGUUUCACCUCUCUUAUCUCAAGAAUCAUGUAAUACAUACUUGAUGAAUGAACGAAUAACAGGUUUUAUUGUACUGUGGAUUAAAUGCUGUGGCCUGUACGUCUCCAUGAUUAAGUGUGCGAGGCAAAUGUACAGAGAAAAAAGAAUAUCCAGCUGAAGCUAGGAAUCUGAAUUCUAGUUCUAUCAUGGAACUUCAGGCAUUCUCAUUCCCUAUGCCUCCGCUUCCUACAAAUGUCCUAUAAACCAGGACAAUAAAACCUGAGUUAUGAGGCCUAUAUGAAAUAAUGAAUGUAAACAAAACGUAGCGACCUAGAAAGCAGUACAUAAAUGGAAGCUAUUAUCAUUUUGGGCCCCUUGAAUGACAGACACAACCUCAGGAGACAGUUAAAGGCUGGCCUUCAUUCUCCUGGGUUUACCGACGUUGAAACUGCAAGGGGAGGUCACCCAAAGUCAGGCCUCACCCGAGUCCCUCCGCUCCCAAGGAACCACCCAGGGGACCGUCUCACUCCAGGGAAGGCGGGCGGCCCGCUCGGGUACCUCGGUCCCCAACGGUGUCCCAGAGGCGCCGUCUCUGCUGGGGGCGUGGCCAUCUUGCCAGCCCCGGCGCAGGGGCCCGAAGCGGGUGCACACUGGCCAGCCUUCCUGCCCGGACCGCUCUCCGAGUGCAAGACGCGCGGGCUGCUGAAGGCGCCCCGCGGGUCUGGUCUGGGCCGAGGAACUCCGGGACGGCGCCGCGGCCGGGCUGCGAAAUCUCUCCGCCCCUGCCCUUCAAAUCACCUCUAGGCACAGCUUCUGCUCCGCUCUCACCUGGGGUCGAGCCUGGUAGGCGCGGAGGCAAGGGCCGAGACGCCGGGCCGCACCCCGGCUGGGCUGGUACAUGAUCUUCCGGGAGUGGAGAGGGAGCCUCUGAGUCCGGCCUCCGGCCUCCUCACAGGGGUGAGCGCGCCCCGGAGCCGGCUUCGUGAAGGGGAAAGGAGGCCGGGACGGGGAGGGGGAGGGGGGGAGGGGGCUGAGGGAGGGAAACGGAGAUGUCGCGCGCUUGCGCACUGCGGGCUCGAGGGAAGCGGCUGAAGCGCUGUCGGCAGUAAGCGCGCCUGCGCCCGCGGGCUCAGAGGUUGCCUGAGUGCGCCUGCGCAAGUUAGCAGUCCCCCCCGCACCCCCCACCCCACCUCUCUCCCCAGCGCUGUAUUCACAGCUGAGGCCUUUGAGCAAAAAGCUGAGCAAAAACGGCUGAAGCCUGAACCGGGUGCAACGACAGUGAGGGGUGAAGUGGCUGAAAUAAUGAGUCAAGUUUUCCAAGCGCUCUUGUGAUAAAAAUAAAUACUUUUAUUGGUCUGGUUAAAAGAUA